GUGAGUCCUCAGAGGUAAGCUCAGUUGAAGGCUGGAGCACUGCUGGGUGGAAGUGUAGGAGUGUCAUCUCUGAAUGCAUCCGACUGAAGGUCUGCAGAAAAAAUAGGGUCCUCGUCAUCUUCCUCCAUGUCCAUGUUCUCUGGAGGCCAACGCAGCUCUCCACUCUCCACCUCGCUCACCUCAGUUGGUUCCACAACAAUAGAGGGUAGACGUUCCUUCUCGUGCUCGUGGCCCAGACAGUUCAGAGAGGUCUCGGGGUCCAGGACAACCUCAACAGGGUCAGGAAAGAUCUGGGGGAAGAAGUUGAUUGUGUCAUGAGCAGUAUAUUGAAUUAAAACUCUGUAGAAGCCUAUAAAUAAACUUAAUUAGGAAUUCUACAAAUUGUUUUAUGUUUUUCCUUAUCUAUCCCAGAAUCACACACACAUGCACACACACACCUACGCAAUAUCGGGGCCUUGGAUUUUGUGUACUUACUAUUAUUCGGGGUUUUAAUCCUUGUUUGUGUCUGCAUUUGAGUCUCUUCAGCUAAGCAUUUCAAGACAUUUUAAAGUAUCAACUGUAACACAGAACUCCAAUCAUAACUAGAAAAAUUUGCAUUUCCUGCGAAAAUACUGUGUGGAUGCCUUAACGCUGAAGAUUUCUGCUG